rnacentral:rRNA from 1 species
UACGAAGGGGGCUAGCGUUGUUCGGAAUCACUGGGCGUAAAGGGCGCGUAGGCGGCCGAUCAAGUCGGGGGUGAAAGCCUGUGGCUCAACCACAGAAUUGCCUUCGAUACUGUUAGGCUUGAGACCGGAAGAGGUAAGUGGAACUGCGAGUGUAGAGGUGAAAUUCGUAGAUAUUCGCAAGAACACCAGUGGCGAAGGCGGCUCACUGGCCCGGUACUGACGCUGAGGCACGAAAGCGUGGGGAGCGAACCGG